rnacentral:rRNA from 1 species
AUGAACGCUGGCGGCGUGCCUAAUACAUGCAAGUCGAGCGAACAGAUGAGGAGCUUGCCCCUCUGACGUUAGCGGCGGACGGGUGAGUAACACGUGGAUAACCUACCUAUAAGACUGGGAUAACUUCGGGAAACCGGAGCUAAUACCGGAUAAUAUAUUGAACCGCAUGGUUCAAUAGUGAAAGACGGUUUUGCUGUCACUUAUAGAUGGAUCCGCGCCGCAUUAGCUAGUUGGUAAGGUAACGGCUUACCAAGGCAACGAUGCGUAGCCGACCUGAGAGGGUGAUCGGCCACACUGGAACUGAGACACGGUCCAGACUCCUACGGGAGGCAGCAGUAGGGAAUCUUCCGCAAAGGGCGAAAGCCUGACGGAGCAACGCCGCGUGAGUGAUGAAGGUCUUCGGAUCGUAAAACUCUGUUAUUAGGGAAGAACAAAUGUGUAAGUAACUAUGCACGUCUUGACGGUACCUAAUCAGAAAGCCACGGCUAACUACAUG